rnacentral:tRNA from 1 species
GAGGGUAUAGCUGAGUGCUAGAGCACAUGCUCAGCAUGCAUGUGGUCCUGGGUUCAAUCCCCAGCACCCCCA